AUUUGAUGCUGUGGGCAUCUCUUGCACAACCUGUUGAACCUUUCCCAAUAGUCAUACAAGGACUCCCCGGAGUACUGCUUGAUGCUGCAUAUCUCCUUUCUCAAACU